GACACUGUGGGGGUGGGGGUGGAGUCGCAGAGGGUGGAGACAGGUCGGCAACAAUGCCUCUAAAGAGUAUAGGUUCCAGCUUUACUCUGCUGUUGGCAGGUAGCUAACAACCUGUAGGGCUUGCUUGUAACAGAAAAAAACCAAGGCCCUGUGGGAUUUUAGGAGGGAGGGUUUCCCAGCCCUGGGUGCCAAAAUGACAGAAGGUUCUAUGAGGCUGCGAUUACAUAAGGUUCCCUCCUUCCUUUGCAGCAGCAGGAAAAGCAGGGGCAGAGACGCCCACAGCUACCAAGAAGCACCUAGGUGAUGUCAGGUCUCUCCCAGCAGUUGUGUGCAGUCUUCCCAGGAGGCCACCGCUGCCACCGCCCCCAGGCUCAAGAUACCUUCCCUCGCCCUUACUUGGAUGGCAUUGUGACAGGCCUGAAGCUGUGCAGACCCCUCCACACCUGUCGUGCAAGGGCACCAUGGGAUGUGAAGGCAGCCAUCGAGUACCUGAGUCCCGCUGGUCGAGGGCCACGGAGUUCCACCUCCUUGUGAUGUCAAUGUAGAGGAUGUCCACUGCAGCCAUGGACAGGCUGCUGCUACUCAGCUUGCAGUUCCUGCCGUGACAGGGAAGAAGACAUGUUAUUCUACGAAUUCUUGGCGAUCAGCAGAGGAACAGUGGCGAGAAGGUUGUGAGUGGGAACUGGGGGUUGGAGACUACGGCUUUAGUGAGGACUAAUGAGUGGACCUGCUGAGAGCAAGGCUGUGGAGAAAGCCAUCAUUGAGCCAAAUCCUGCCUCUGCCACUGAGAACCCAGGCAAGCCACUCGCUUUUCCAGCCUUUCUGCUUUAGUGUUUUCGUUCUGUCUGCUGCACCUCAUACAGUCCUGAAGACCCUGCCCGCUCUCAAAGGGAGGCAAGGCUCUCUCUUUCUCUUUCUUAGUAUCAUUAUUACUACUAUUAUUAUUGCAAUAGGGUCUCAUAUAGCCCAGGCUGGCCUCAAACUCACUAUAUGGCUGAGGAUGAUCCUCCUGCCUCCACCCCCAAGUGCUGGGAUUACAGGUGUGCGCUACCACAUCUGGUUUCUAAAGUGGUCCUGGGGAUGGAACCCAGAGCCUCAUCCAUGGUAGGCAAGUAUUUUAUCAGCUGAGCCACACCACAACCCAAGGAACUCCAUCGUCAGGAAAUACUUUUUUGUGUAUUCAUCUUCUUACUGUUUCAGAAUAUGAGUACUGCCCUCUCCUGUCACUACAGGCAGCUGACUGUGUCACAGUCACAUGGACUGGCAACGACAGCUCACCACUGAAGUGACUGAAGUCAUCUCUGUGGUCUGGGAGCUGUUCCUCCCGGAUCUUACCAGAGGAGUCCCUGAGGCCGAACAUGUAGACAAGAAGCCUGAUGUGUUUCUACUUCACCUCUCUUACUUUGUCACCCUGAUGGCUUUAUACAAGCCCCGAAUCCUCACACACAGGCCCAGACAAGCAGAGUGGAAAGCGCAGGCAGAGCCAUGUUCUUUUUUGGCACAGGCUGGCCCCAAGUCACUGGAGAGCCUUCUACACCAUGCUGCAAGUUUGUUACUGGUCAUCUGGAGCCAGGAGGAGGGUGGAUGUUCUGAUGCUCCUUCUGCUCGGGUGCAGGGACACCAAAGAACGGGACAUAAAUCUGAUGUCAGCAGCAGUGCUCUGCCUCAGCCACGGAGGGGGCGUUUGGAGUCCCAUCCCCUCCACUCAUUUAUUUGGUCUGGAGAAGUGGGUAAACAGCAUUUAGAUGCUUGAUUGUGGGUAGUUUUCUUAAAUCUCUCCACACACCUUUGUUUCUCGAUCUCUGAGUUGAAGGUCCCGCCUGCCCACAUGGCUGCCGAGGGAAGCAGGGAACGUCUGUGGGCAACUGUGUGCUGCCGGGUGCCUGGGAGGCUCGUGGCAUGCCUUAGUCCUCAUUUCUUCUUGCUCUCCAGUUUUCUCUCUCAGGCAACAGGUCCAAACUUUCACUGUCCUUUUGAGGUAAUGAAACCUAGGACAAGAGAGCCUAGGCCAGCCGUUGGCUUGUCCACCUCUCCCACCGCCCUCUGGACACGAUUGCUCUAGGAGGUGGGAUUUCCUAAGAAACCUGAAGGCUGGACUCUGGGCUCUGUCAGAGCUACACCGACACUUCCGGACAGUUCCAAUGCAUCUCAUCCGUACCCCAGUGGAUGACAAAGUGCUUCUCUGACGGCCAUUUGUCAUUGCUCCUUGUGUGAACAGUUCCCGUAGGUGCCAGACAGGUGAGGUUUUGAUUGACAAUUAUGAUUGCCACCUAGAGGCCCCUAUCCAGAUUCAGGUCCGCUCCUUAACUAUGGUGGUUGUGAGUAUGCCCAGCACGGUGCCUGGAUGAGGUCCCUGCACCUUCUGCCCUGGCACACUUGCUUGCCCCUCCCUCCCCUCCUCAGACCAACAAGUCACAUCCCUUUCCAUAUUUCAGUCACAAGGUGCCGUGGCAGACUUCAAAGCAUGUCAGCGCCUAGUGACUGAGUCAGUGGGCACUGAGCUUUUCAUGUCGCCGGUCAGGAGAUGCUAUCUCUGGUGGAUUCUGCUAGGGACAGUAGUCUCUCGAGUCAUGCUGUCGGUGGACGCUGCUGAUUCCCAAGGCUUCAUUAGGAAAAGCCAUAGCUCUUUCCGCAUCAGUGUUCUAGGACUACCUGUUCCUUGGGAGGACGGAGAGCUGCCUGGCUUGCUCCGUGGGUUAAUGAAGGUUAAAACCGGAAACUGAACUGACCACUGGUAUAUAGUUAUUUUUUUUUCCUGACAGGAAGAAAAUAGAAGUGUCAAAUCUUAGUAGAAGCCGUAAUUUACCAGGGAGAAUUCUCCCUUUAUCCCCUUUCCAAGGUAACUCAUCCUCCCCAGCAAUACUGGCAAAUACAGUUGAUUACGGUGCCUGCAGUUAGAGAGGAGGACCAUCCGUGUCGGCUGCAGGAGGCACGAAAUGCUUAAAGAGGUUUGGAUUCUGUAGGUCCUUCUUGGGCACCAUAUCCUUCCCAAGGUCUCAGAGCCCUUGUAAGCACCUAUGAGGGAGGGGUCCCAGUCCCAUUUCAGUGGGGGAAAGAUGAGGCACAGAGGGGGGUCAGGACAUGCUGAAGGUCACACGGCUCAAAACUGUACCCCAUCUCCCCUUGGAAACAAAGGGAGGUGGUCCAGCUGGCGGUCCCAGAAGGAGCCUAGGAUCAAGAUACAAACUCUCAGUCUAGUGGCCUAAGGGCUGGACGCCUGCUGGGAAGUUUUGGGAUAGGGGUUUCUGGGACAUAACUAGGAGCUCAUGAAGGCAGGGGCUUCUGGGUUCGUCCUUUGGCUACCAGACAUUUUCGGGGCUCAAACAGAGUCUAUUUAGCUCAAAUAGAAGCUAACAUCAAAUAUUUGGAAUAACGCUUUUGAUUCAUACAGCCACUGAAUACAGAGCUCAUCUCCUGUCAUGGUGGGUACCCAUAUUCGGGGCCCAGUGACGGGUGGCACAGCUCUCAGAGCUGUGCAGGAGAUGGCGUGUGAUGGCCAGGUCGUUUCAGUCAUGGAACACAACUUCCCCUCGUGCCCUGGGAUCAGCUCCCUCAAUGAACAGGUGGAAGGGGAAGAUCUUAGGAGGAAGAGCACUCUGAGAAACCGGGUAUGGGAGAGGCUAGACAUUUUCUAGAAAAGAAGUGGACCUUGGGUUUUGCUGCGUGAUUCUGAGCAUGCCAUAGAAGUUCUUUUUGUUUGUCUGAGGGGACCGAGGCUACCCACCAGACAAGGCCCUGGCACUGGCGCUCCAUGCUGGGCACAUGUGGAGAAGAAGCCGACAACAAUCAAAGUCUUGCCUAGUGAUGAAGAAUCGGCUGAAAGUGAUGACUUUUGUGUUUCUUGUUGUUUCUCUUUUUUUGGAAUGGAAGUAAUCUGAGUACACAUGACGGGAGAGAUCACAAAUCACUGAAGUUCAUUAGGAGCCUGAGCGUGGGGGAAGCUUUGAAACCAUCAUCCAUUUCCUCUAACUGCCUAUGUCUCUUGGGAAAUUUAGGGACCAACUUUUUACACUCCACAAAAUCCUAUUUAUAGAAUUUCUUUUAUGUUCAUCCUUCUUUGUGGUGAAAAAAGAGCUGCUUUUCUUCCCUCCAGAGGUUUCUGUAAGGUAAAAGGCAAAUAUCCAUAUUUAUUUUAGAAAAGGGGGGGGGACAAAUCACUAAAUAUUUGUGAGGGGAGGAAAGAGGUGUCUGUGGUUUAGAACAUCCACGGUUUUCAAGGCUGUGGAGAAGAAUCGCACACGGUUUCUGGGAAGGAAUGGUCACAGAAGGGACAGUUUCAAAGUCACUAAGGAGUUAAUGUUAAGGGGGACAGUGGGCUCCUUCUACUUCUAUUCUAGAACAUUUUAACCUCUCAUGCCUCUCAGAGGGAAAAACCCUACAGCUAUCUAUUAUGAAGCAUAUCAGACUGGCCUAGAACAGAGAUCUACCUGCCUCUGCCUCCAAAGAGCUGGAAUUAAGGGCAUGCCCACCACACUCAACUCCUAAAUAAAAUAUAGGAGGUGACAAUUUAUCAAGUGUUUGUAACAAAAGAGAAGUAAAAGGGAAAGGGAGAAAGAGGGAAAAUGCGUCCUUUAAUUCAAACAGAGACCUGGGAUCAGAAGCAGCGAGUGUCCUGGGAAGGAGCCUGGCUGGGGCCAACUGUUGACUGUGUAGCUGCAUUCAGUGGACAGUGAGGACACUGGGAAGUGUCCUCCAUGAGUUCUAUGAUGUCUCCCACCCCCACUAGUGACCCGUUGACAGGAGCUAAUACAGACCAAUCUCUCUCAAAGGAAGCCUCCACAUCCUGGCAAUUGUUAGAAAAUAAAAUUUCCAAAAAACAAAAAACUAAAAAGCAGAGCUCAGUUCACAGUGAAGAUACGUGCUGCCUGAUGAUACUCGGCUGCUGAGGAAAUGACUGGAGGCUGGUUAGAGUGUCUAGACGGGAGAAUGACAGUUUCUUAUUUCUCAUUCGUGGAGCAAGAGAAGAGUGGAAGAUGGCUGGGCGGGCAUUAGCAUAAUUCGCUGUGAAAACUGCUGAUCUGUGCUGCGAGUUCUGAGAGAUGGACACCGAAAAUAAAUCCAAGCGGACCGUGGAUUAUUUUCUUCUCUUCUCGGUCUUUUCAAGGAACGUGGAGAGAAACAGAGUGGGUAGUAGAUGUGAAAGCCAAGUUUCACUUGGGGCAUCUGUGUGGGAACCUUGCGAGGUGUGUGCACCGUGCUGGGAAUAUGUGUUUCGGUGUGCUCCUGCGAAGGGCACUUGGUUCAACCCAGCAUAUGGUAUAAAUAUUAUUAAUUCAUAACGAAGCAACAUUUAAGCCAAAGUGGAAAGGAGAGAGAGAACAGUCGUGAGCAGGUGGUGAAAUUUAAUUUGCAAGACUGAACAUACCCAGAUAAAUUGGAAGGCGGAGAUUUACCAUAUUUUACUAUUGAGCUGCCAUUGGGGUUUCUCGGGCCAUCUUUUACCGAGUGCUGUGUUCCAUCCACGUCCUCCUGCAUCCUGAGUUAGGAUGGGCAUUUGCUGGGUGGCCUUGUUGUUGCGUCCAUCUGCUCGAGCCGCCUCUUGGCCACCUGAAGACGUCUGUUUACUGCCUCCUUCUGCCGCAGUUCCACUGACAGCCCUGGCUGGCCACAGAUUGGAGGUGGUGGCUGCAGAACCUAACAAUCCCCAAUCUUGGAGAAAUCGAUUUCUCAUGCAAAUGCCUUCAAUGAUGGGAGAAUCACAAAGCCUGACACAUCCAGGCAGCUUUG